rnacentral:tRNA from 1 species
AAUCUUAUAGUUUAAUUAAAACAUUAAAUUGCAAGUUUAAUAUUGAUCUUUAUCUAAGAUUU